rnacentral:rRNA from 1 species
UGGGGAAUUUUGGACAAUGGGCGCAAGCCUGAUCCAGCCAUGCCGCGUGCGGGAAGAAGGCCUUCGGGUUGUAAACCGCUUUUGUCAGGGAAGAAAUCUUCUGAGUUAAUACCUCGGGAGGAUGACGGUACCUGAAGAAUAAGCACCGGCUAACUACGUGCCAGCAGCCGCGGUAAUACGUAGGGUGCAAGCGUUAAUCGGAAUUACUGGGCGUAAAGCGUGCGCAGGCGGUUUUGUAAGACAGAGGUGAAAUCCCCGGGCUCAACCUGGGAACUGCCUUUGUGACUGCAAGGCUUGAGUGCGGCAGAGGGGGGAUGGAAUUCCGCGUGUAGCAGUGAAAUGCGUAGAUAUGCGGAGGAACACCGAUGGCGAAGGCCAAUCCCCUGGGCCUGCACUGACGCUCAUGCACGAAAGCGU